rnacentral:sRNA from 1 species
GAUCAUUACAGAAUGAAAGUGCUUAACUGCAUUUUUUUUACACAUGUGUUUUUCUUUUUUUUUGAAAACUUUGCUUUGGUGGGCCCAUGGCCUGCCAGAGAUUAAACUCAACCAAAUUUUUAUUUAAGUCAACUGAUUAACUAAUAGUCAAAACUUUCAACAACGGAUCUCUUGGUUCUCGCAUCGAUGAAGAACGCAGCGAAAUGCGAUAAGUAAUAUGAAUUGCAGAUAUUCGUGAAUCAUCGAAUCUUUGAACGCACAUUGCGCCCUUUGGUAUUCCAAAGGGCAUGCCUGUUUGAGCGUCAUUUCUCCCUCAAACCUUCGGGUUUGGUGUUGAGCGAUACGCUGGGUUUGCUUGAAAGAAAGGCGGAGUAUAAACUAAUGGAUAGGUUUUUUUUCCCCACUCAUUGGUACAAACUCCAAAAUUCUUCCAAAUUCGACCUCAAAUCAGGUAGGACUACCCGCU